CCGACUCAUCGGCUGGCUUAGCCUUGGUGCACCACAGCGCAACGCGCUCCCUCCGCCGGCCGGACCCAGCCAAGCGAGUCGUGCCGGCGGAUUUGGUUCUACUCGCGUUAAUCUGGAGCAAGGUCUCCUUUUUCAUCCACAGAUUGCUGCAGUAUUACAACACAUCCGAACCCACAAACCGACCCUUUUUAUCUAGAGCCCAGCGCCAUUAUAGACAGACCGAGCCCCU